UCUCAAACUAGGACCGAGUCUAACUUGCGACCGCCGUCCGGAUUGUGUACGUUCAGCUUGCCAUUGUAAAGACCGAACGAUCUUCUACUGCUCACCGCCUGCCCACUCAUUACGAACCCUUGAACGGAAACGCUCCCCCUAUUGUCAACCUUUGCUGACGAUUAUGGCGUAUUACAGAAGCCUGGUUUGCCCCGAAGCCGAGGCCGCGUUUCUCUCCGGGUUCACUCUAAUCGAUCAACCAUUCCAUUGCCGAAUGGUUCCGCUGCUAGAGAUCGACAAGACUCUCCUUCUAGUCGGUGUGACCCUGACUCUGUGCCGGGUCUGGGGAUGCCCUCCGUCGUCACCCCUUAUAACGUGUUACCCCCUUUGGGACUACGUCGGUACGGCGCACACACUUCUUCCGGAAGCCCAACAUUUCGUGAAAGUCAACACUCCUUUUCAAUCAUCAAUUAUGGACGAUCGGCACUGCAAUUGUUGUCUUCUUCGUGGCCGAUUGAGGCACGGUCGUCGGCGCCAUUAUGCCUCCCACGCUCGCAAUUAGCCUUAAUGACCCGCAUUUCGCGUGCGUCCGCCAAACAAAUCGAUCUACACUUUCGGGGCCCGAGUUGGACCCUACCAGUAAAUCUUGACCGUCUGAUCUCAGAACUCUCCCCUCACCUUAAGGUCCACAUCGCCACUUUACGCAUCUAUAGACCUCCUUGUAGUCACCGCUUCCGCUGAGGGACCGGGUUCCUGACUGCGAGUACACGCUUUCACACCCAUCGCUUGUCCUAAUCUAUGGGACCAUCAGGUGUGGCAUUGCGACAGAUGAUCGACACACACAGAAAAUCUGCACGCAUCGCUCGAUUGCGCGAUUCAUCUGGCGGACCCCUCAUGCCGGCGUUCCAUUUUGAGUUACUAACUGCCCCGCGUGUCGCCAACUGUACACCAAAUUAAGCCACGUUGCGCUUCUUGGAAUGGAUGUGAACUGUACGACUCUUCAAUGAUCUCUAUCAAAGCACGGAAGCCCUUGAGUCUGUGUCCACGACGUACCGACAGCAGUCGAGCACAGCACUCUACAACCCAAUUCAGGGCGUUGCUCGCGUUGGGAACAGGAAUCAACGGUCGGAAUUCAACCCGUGAGAUUCCUCUGACGGCCACUGUUUGGCCUCCUUCCACCCCUGCUGCAGUUCAGUAGUACCGGGAAUGCACAUCCCGAUGUGUGCACGAUGUUACCGUAAAUGUCUCCCUUCGCUCUGUCACUACACCUCGCCUGGGGAAUUUCUUACAGCAUCAGGCCUAACCUCAGACGUUGAGCUGAGGUACUUCAGCCUUAGCGAUCAUUAGCGUCCAGUCUUAUGACGCCACUUAUGCAAGGGCCCGGAACAUGUGUGGCGGGCAGUGUGGUACCCUCACCCUACGUUUUCUUCAUCAAUCAGAUUGGAAGCCCUCCUGCUAAUGGUGAAACACAAAGUACUGACCCCACUUCAGCAUUGUUCCAUUUGGU
rnacentral:rRNA from 1 species